UCCCUGAUCGCGGGUUUCGGCCCA
rnacentral:siRNA from 1 species